rnacentral:rRNA from 1 species
ACUCAAAUGAAUUGACGGGGACUUGCACAAGCAGUGGAUUAUGCGGUUUAAUUCGAUGGUGAACGAAGAACCUUACCAAGGUUAGAAAUCCCAACGACUCCGCCGAGAAAUUGGCGGAUUUCGCAAGAACGGUGGGACAGGUGAUGCAUGGCCGUCGUCAGUUCGUGGUUUGAAUUGUUCCCUUAAGUGGGGUAACGAACGCAACCCUCGUUGCCAGUUAUAAGUGUCUGGCGAGACUGCCCCCUCUCCAGUUUUGGAAAUUUGAAAUUUUCAAAACUGCAAAACUGGAGAGGGGGAGGAAGGCGAGGAUGACGCCAGGUCAGCAUGUCCCUUGAUACCUUGGGCUACACGCAUAAUACAAUCGCAUCUACAACGGGUCGCGACGUCGUAAGACUGAGCUAAUCCUAAGAAAAGAUGCGUCAGUUCAGAUUGGGGGCUGAAACUCGACCCCAUGAAGUUGGAAUUGCUAGUAAUCGCGGGUCAGCUAUACCGCGGUGAAUACGUUCUCAAGUCUUGUACACACCGCCCGU